rnacentral:rRNA from 1 species
CCAAUAGCGUAUAUUAAAGUUGUUGCAGUUAAAGAGCUCGUAGUUGAAUUUCGGGGUCGGUAGGUUGGUCGUGCCAUCGGUAUGCACUGGUCUCACCGAUUCCUCCCUCUUGUAGAAGCGUAAUGCCAUUAAGUUGGUGUUGCGGGGAAACAGGACUGUUACUUUGAAAAAAUUAGAGUGUUUAAAGCAGGCUAACGCUUGAAUACAUUAGCAUGGAAUAAUGAAAUAGGACGUCGACCCUAUUUUGUUGGUUUCUAGGGUUGACGUAAUGAUUAAUAGGGAUAGUUGGGGGCAUUAGUAUUCAAUUGUCAGAGGUGAAAUUCUUGGAUUUAUUGAAGACUAACUACUGCGAAAGCAUUUGCCAAGGAUGUUUUCAUUAAUCAAGAACGAAAGUUAGGGGAUCGAAGACGAUCAGAUACCGUCGUAGUCUUAACCAUAAACUAUGCCGACUAGGGAUCGGAUGAUGUUAAUUUUUUAAUGACUCAUUCGGCGCCUUACG